GUGAGUACGUGUUAUGAAUUAGCGUUAGUUUGUGUAUUGGUUCAUAAUAACAUAAGCGUAUGGAUGCAUGUCACUGGGAAAUUGUCUAAAACAUCGUAUAUCAUAAGGGUAAGGACCAUAGGCGAUAAUAAAUAAUACUCACAAAAGCCAGUCGAAUGUGUAAAGCAGAGUGACUGCCUCGGUCGGUAUAUUGAGAGCUGCCACAACAAUGAUUACCCCCAUCAGUGCAGAGGAGGGAACGGGAGGCAUUCCAGUAGAUGUUAUUGUUGUUAAAAGACUUCAAACGAAACGGAAAGAAGAUGCAUAGCCAAAAAUGCAUUCAUAUCCGAAACAUGAUGACGACAUACAGGAUAAGAGAUUGCCGACCAGGAAGAGAAUGAACCAUUAAUCAAAUCCGUUGAUGUCGUCACACACAAUCAAUGCUUACCAUAUGAGCAUGACCGUAGGUGCGUUAAGAGUGGUCCCUAGCAUCUGGCAGACAAAGAUGGACGACACGGCGAUGUAGAAGGCAGUGCCCGAUCGGCUUAGCGUCAUUACAAAUGGCAUAACAAAUCGUGAUACCCUCUUGUCUACAGCAUGUUCGGUCUCUAGAAUAGUCAUCACAGCAGGCAUAGUGAUCGGUCUGGAACAGAAAUAUCACAUAAAACAUUGAAUAAAAUGUCACAGAAAACGUCAUACGAAACGGCACGCAUACCAACCCAGAAAACACUGCAAAACGUUACGCUCAAUAAACCAUACCAGUCAUACAAAACGGCACACGAAAAGUCACACAAAAUAAUAUACAAAACACCACACUAAAAGUCACACAAAAUAAUACACAAAACAAAACACACAAUAUCACACAAAACAAUACACACAAUAUCACACAAAACAAUACACACAAUACCACACAAAACGUCACACAAAACAAUACACACAAUUCCACACAAAACAAUACACACAAUACCACACAAAACAAUACACACAAUACCACACAAAACAAUACACACAAUACCACACAAAACAAUAUACAGAAAGUCAUAAAAACAAAACAAAACGCCACACGAUAUUACACACUAGACGUCAAUCGAAACGUCACGCAAAAAGGUCGCACAAAACAUCACACACAACAAUACACAAAACAACGCAAACCUCAAACAAAACAUCUAAAAGAAAGAUACCAACACAUUGGGUGAUCACAUGAUAUAGAGUUGAUAGCCGGGAACAUGGAUGUUCUAUGAUAUCGCACAUGCCGAGCAGGCUACAGGCAAAGUUUGUUACAUUGUCUAGCACGAUCUACUGUACAUUUUUACAUAAACUUGGUUUUACUGAGCCUUAUACAUACAAAUAGCGUUUAUUAAUCUCAGACGGGUGUUUGCAAUAUUCUGAAGACGCGAUUUUUAAAUCCGUGAUCCCUAUCACGUACAUACGUCAUGAGCCCGUACAGCUCUUUAAGACACAUCAUAUGAAUGAGGUUUUGAAACUAAACCAUACACGAAUAUAUAUAUCCCUACAUUUAAAUAUAUAUUGAUAUACAUACUUUUCAUUAGAUAUACAGAAGUAUACUAUUAGAAAGAUACAUACGAAUUUGCUGUUGCAAAUGCCAUCAGGAUCGGCUGGGAAAGAGACAACAGAAAGGUAAACGGAUUUGCCCUCCGUAAAAGGAGGUAGCUGAUGGGUAUUAUCAGACCACAUACAGUCAUUCCUGUUGUAGCCGCUAAGAUGAACAUGCCUAACUUCUGGAAGUCUUCUGAUAUGUUGUCAGCAGCGCAUAUGGUCUUAGCGAUUAGACUUGCCACUCCAAUGGGCGUCAACCUAGGAAAAACAAACAUCAACGAAAGCUUUGAAGGGUUUACCGACGUCACGAAGGACGCCAGAAGCUAUCCCAAACAAAGUGCAUACCACCACCAAUCCUGAUAAAAUCGAAUAAAAAAUAUCUUAAAUUGACUGGAAUUAAUAGAUUGAAUAUUUAUUCAUUAACUACA